UACAGAGGGGGCAAGCGUUAUUCGGAAUUAUUGGGCGUAAAGGGCGCGUAGGCGGCUUUGCAAGUGACGGGUGAAAUCCCUCGGCUUAACCGAGGAACUGCCUGUCAGACUGCAUGGCUUGAGACCGGGAGAGGUGAGUGGAAUUCCCAGUGUAGCGGUGAGAUGCGUAGAUAUUGGGAGGAACACCAGUGGCGAAGGCGGCUCACUGGACCGGUACUGACGCUGAGGCGCGAAAGCGUGGGGAGCAAACAGG
rnacentral:rRNA from 1 species